GAGCUGUGAAAAAAUUGGCAAUAGCGUUGGUUGGGUCCUUCGCAGUCAUCUGCUUCAUGUGAUGAGAUAUUCCACCACUGAGCUC
rfam:Brassica napus, WGS project CCCW01000000 data, contig: 15528